UCCUGUUUCCUCGCGCUCGCCCCCGGCUAGAAAAUGUGCUGCAGUGGCUGCUCCACUUGGUGAGGCUGUGGCCUCCUGUUGGCCACCUCUCUUUGCUGUCCAAGAUGGUGAGAUUCAUCUUGGACCUGGCAUCAAAAUGCGAGAGGCAGC